UACUUAUCCAGAAAGACAGAGGGAAUUGACCCUAUGAAGUCUUGACAACCUCCACAUACCACGUGUAUGUGAAAGGUGCCAAAUUCAACUCAAAGUAAUUUGAGGAAGAUAAGUU
rnacentral:ncRNA from 2 species